rnacentral:lncRNA from 1 species
CUUUUCUCUGGAGUGACUCCCAAGUUAUUUCUUCUAAGAUGGUAAGGAGUGGAAAACAGUCUUCCUCUUUGCUUCAAAUUUAGUCCAGCAGUGUGCCUUCUCAACAGUCCUGUUAUGCCCUUAGCACCAUCACACUAAUUCACUAAUAAAUAAAUGGGAACCUCUCACCCUCACCCUCAGAUGCAGUUUUCCGAGGCUGGAAAGUGCCUUUCUGCUUGAGUUAGCACAGCUCUGUGGAAAUCUGGUGCAAAGUUCAUCACUGUCUGGCAGGGUGACUGAAGUAAAUCCACAAACAAGGAGCCUCAGGGCCUUAAAAAUCCAUUUCGAAGUGAGCAGUCUAUGAGUUGCUUCCGCUGUCUACUUAGCUCUUAAAAUGACAAAAUAUAAUCGAGCCCUUACUUUGAGAAGAUACAGAAUUACAGACGAUUGCUGUGGACGUCUAAAUAGUAAGUGCUACUUACCCGUUGUGAGUCUAAGUAGUCUGCACAU